GGGAAGCUCGGUCUGGUGCUUUGGAUCCGUUUCCAUCGGUCCUUACAGCCGCUCGUCAGACCCCAGCAGCAAAGAUGGUGAAGCAGAUCGAGAGCAAGGCUGCUUUUCAGGAAGCCUUGAACACCGCAGGUGAUAAACUUGUAGUAGUUGACUUCUCAGCCACGUGGGGUGGGCCUUGCAAAAUGAUCAAGCCUUUCUUUCAUUCCCUCUCUGAAAAGUAUUCCAACGUAGUAUUCCUUAAAGUAGAUGUGGAUGACUGUCAGGAUGUUGCUUCAGAGUGUGAAGUCAAAUGCAUGCCAACAUUCCAGUUUUUUAAGAAGGGACAAAAGGUGGGUGAAUUUUCUGGAGCCAAUAAGGAAAAGCUUGAAGCCACCAUUAAUGAAUUAGUCUAAUCAUGUUUUCUGAAAACAUAACCAGCUACUGGCUAUUUAAAACUUGUAAUUUUUUUAAUUUAUAAAAAUAUAAAAUAUGAAGACAUAAACCCAGUUGCCAUCUGCGUGACAAUAAAACAUUAAUUCUAACAUUUAAAAAAAAA